GGUACAGUAGCAAUCAUAAGAGGGGAAAAGCCAUCACUGUGGCUUGGGCAGGAGUCCCACAAUACUGGGGUACAAUUUCUAAUCCCAUGUAUUUUCCCAUUAACUCUGGGGGUGACCAGCUUCACCUUUCCAAAAUAAAAUGAGAACCUAAUGUUUGUAUAUAUGUGUAUACACACAACGUACAUACACAUAUAUAUUCAGAACUGAACAGUCUCAGUCUAGCUAUUGGUUUUGAACAAAGUUUAAAUUGAUUUCAUCUUUCUUUCCUAGCUUCUACACGCUACAAACAUCAUUUUCUUAGUUCCAUGCAGUAACUAUGUUUGUCACAGUUCUAUAUAGAGCUUUUUUUUUUCUUGUUGCUUAAGCUGGAGCACUGACUUGCUGAGAGAUGUAGCUUUGGUUGUAUCUACCAUUCAUAUGCUGAACAAAUUUUUCUUUCAUAGGAUCUGACAGCAUUAGCCAAAGAACUAAGAGAACUCCGGAUUGAAGAAACAAACCGCCCAAUGAAGAAGGUGACUGAUUACUCCUCCUCCAGUGAGGAGUCAGAAAGUAGCGAGGAAGAGGAGGAAGAUGGAGAGAGCGAGACCCAUGAUGGGACAGUGGCUGUCAGCGACAUACCCAGACUGAUACCAACAGGAGCUCCAGGGAGCAACGAGCAGUACAAUGUGGGAAUGGUGGGGACGCAUGGGCUGGAGACCUCUCACGCGGACACUUUCAGCGGCAGUAUUUCAAGAGAAGGAACCUUGAUGAUUAGAGAGACGUCUGGAGAGAAGAAGCGAUCUGGCCACAGUGACAGCAAUGGCUUUGCUGGCCACAUCAACCUCCCUGACCUGGUGCAGCAGAGCCAUUCUCCAGCUGGAACCCCGACUGAGGGACUGGGGCGUGUCUCAACCCAUUCCCAGGAGAUGGACUCUGGGACUGAAUAUGGCAUGGGGAGCAGCACCAAAGCCUCCUUCACCCCCUUUGUGGACCCCAGAGUAUACCAGACGUCUCCCACUGAUGAAGAUGAAGAGGAUGAGGAAUCAUCAGCUGCAGCUCUGUUUACUAGCGAACUUCUUAGGCAAGAACAGGCCAAACUCAAUGAAGCAAGAAAGAUUUCGGUGGUAAAUGUAAACCCAACCAACAUUCGGCCUCAUAGCGACACACCAGAAAUCAGAAAAUACAAGAAACGAUUCAACUCAGAAAUACUUUGUGCAGCUCUGUGGGGUGUAAACCUUCUGGUGGGGACUGAAAAUGGCCUGAUGCUUUUGGACCGAAGUGGGCAAGGCAAAGUCUAUAAUCUGAUCAACCGGAGGCGAUUUCAGCAGAUGGAUGUGCUAGAGGGACUAAAUGUCCUUGUGACAAUUUCAGGAAAGAAGAAUAAGCUACGAGUUUACUAUCUUUCAUGGUUAAGAAACAGAAUACUACAUAAUGACCCAGAAGUAGAAAAGAAACAAGGCUGGAUCACUGUUGGGGACUUGGAAGGCUGUAUACAUUAUAAAGUUGUUAAAUAUGAAAGGAUCAAAUUUUUGGUGAUUGCCUUAAAGAAUGCUGUGGAAAUAUAUGCUUGGGCUCCUAAACCAUAUCAUAAAUUCAUGGCAUUUAAGUCUUUUGCAGAUCUCCAGCACAAGCCUCUGCUAGUUGAUCUCACAGUAGAAGAAGGUCAAAGAUUAAAGGUUAUUUUUGGUUCACACACUGGUUUCCAUGUAAUUGAUGUUGAUUCAGGAAACUCUUAUGAUAUCUACAUACCAUCUCAUAUUCAGGGCAAUAUCACUCCUCAUGCUAUUGUCAUCUUGCCUAAAACAGAUGGAAUGGAAAUGCUUGUUUGCUAUGAGGAUGAGGGGGUGUAUGUAAACACCUAUGGCCGGAUAACUAAGGAUGUGGUGCUCCAAUGGGGAGAAAUGCCCACGUCUGUGGCCUACAUUCAUUCCAAUCAGAUAAUGGGCUGGGGCGAGAAAGCUAUUGAGAUCCGGUCAGUGGAAACAGGACAUUUGGAUGGAGUAUUUAUGCAUAAGCGAGCUCAAAGGUUAAAGUUUCUAUGUGAAAGAAAUGAUAAGGUAUUUUUUGCAUCCGUGCGAUCUGGAGGAAGUAGCCAAGUGUUUUUCAUGACCCUCAACAGAAAUUCCAUGAUGAACUGGUAACAGAAGAGCACUUGGCACUUAUCUUCAUGGCGUUAUUUCUAAUUUAAAAGAACAUAACUCAUGUGGACUUAUGCCAGUCUAGAGGCAGAAUCAGAAGGCUUGGUUGAACAUAUCGCUUUCCCCUUUUCCUCUCCCUCCACCCCUCCCAAUACAGUCCAUCUUUCAAUGUUGCAGCCUGGUUGAGAAGGAGAGAAAAAGGUGGCAGAAAUUUCCAGGAGAUCCCCAAGAAUGCUGCCUUGUCUGUGGACAAAGAUGGACCACGUGCCCUUCGGAGUUAGGGAUAGAAACAAAUAUUGUGUGCUCUUAACGAUUAAGCUGUGUUAUGGUGGGUUUUCAGGUUUUUACCUUUUUUCUUUACCCCUUUACUCUGCAAGAAUGGGGAAAGAAUGCAUAUUGAGAAAAUGAGUCUUUUAAAUUCUGUCUGCCUACUAGUUUUAAGUAUAUGGUAUGUUGUAAAAUUUCCAAUGAUGAGAGACAGCACAAUAAAUGUACCUUAUCUCCUUAGGCUGAAGGCCAUAACCACAUAGUGGAGUAAUUUAAGAACUCUCUUGCCUUCACCAACCCAAAAGAUUGCUUUUUGAUAGCAACUGGCUAAUGAAUUUUUAAAAAGAGAAGAAAAA
rnacentral:sRNA from 1 species